rnacentral:lncRNA from 1 species
UCAAUAUAUUCUUCCAUGAGUCGUGUACAACAGCAGCAAUAUUACGCCGAUUCUUCCAAUGCAUCAACAGGAAUUCGAUCCUCGAUCCAAGUCCAUGCUGGCUUCUUCACCACAUGGUUCUAUGCAACCCUGCAGCAUUGUCCCAACAACCAUCAGCUGGCAAGGUCUCUAUUAUUGUAGCUAAUGGAACUCUUGGAUAAAUUAUUCUAGUCUAACAAGGAACUUCAAAGGAAGAUUUAUCGUUUGAAAGAAGGAGCUUCAA